UACGGGGGGGGCAAGCGUUGUUCGGAAUUACUGGGCGUAAAGGGCCAGUAGGCGGCCAACUAAGUCGGAUGUGAAAUCCCCAGGCUUAACCUGGGAACUGCAUCCGAUACUGGAUGGCUUGAAUUCGGGAGAGGGAUGCAGAAUUCCAGGUGUAGCGGUGAAAUGCGCAGAUAUCAGGAGGAACACCAAUUGCGAAGGCAGCUCGCUGGGACGUAACUGACGCUGAGACGCGAAAGCGUGGGGAGCAAACAGG
rnacentral:rRNA from 1 species